AACGUAGGAGGCAAGCGUUAUCCGAAUUUACUGGGCGUAAAGCGUGUGCAGGCGGGCGGCUAAGUUGGAUGUGAAAUCCCCUGGCUCAACUGGGGGAGGUCGUUCAAAACUAGCUGUCUGGAGGGCGGUAGAGGGAGGUGGAAUUCCCGGUGUAGUGGUGAAAUGCGUAGAGAUCGGGAGGAACACCUGUGGCGAAAGCGGCCUCCUGGACCGUGCCUGACGCUGAAACACGAAAGCUAGGGGAGCGAACGGG
rnacentral:rRNA from 1 species